UAUAUUUUUUGUUUUUUUUU
rnacentral:miRNA from 1 species